GGGGACUUGGAGAACCUUUAUGUCUAGCUAAAGGAUUGUAAAUACAGCAAUCGGCACCCUGUAUCUAGCUCCAGGUUCGUAAACACACCAAUCAGCACCCUGUGUCUAGCUCAGGGUUUGUGAAUGCACCAAUCCACACUCUGUAUCUGGCUCAUCUAGUGGGGACAUGGAGAACCUUUGUGUCUAGCUCAGGGAUUGUAAACGCACCAAUCAGUGCCCUGUCAAAACAGACCACUUGCUCUCUGUAAAAUGGACCAAUCAGCAGGAUGUGCGUGGGGCCAGAUAAGAGAAUAAAAGCAGGCUGCCCGAGCCAGCAGUGGCAAUCCUCUGGGGUCUCCUUACAUACUGUGGAAAAUUUGUUCUUUCGCUUUUUGCAAUAAAUCUUGCUGCUGCUCACUCUUUGGGUCCACACUGCCUUUAUGAGCUGUAACUCUCACGGUGAAGGUCGGCAGCUUCACUCCUGAAGCCAGCGAGAGCACGAACCCACCAGGAGGAAUGAACAACUCCAGACGCGCCGCCUUAAGAGCUGCAACACUCACCGCGAAGGUCCGCAGCUUCACUCCUGAGCCGGCGAGACCACGAACCCACCAGGAGGAAGAAACUCCGAACAUCAGAAGGAACAAACUCUGGACAUGAGGCCUUUAAGAACUGUAACACUCACCGCGAGGGGCCACGGCUUCAUUCUGGAAGUCAGUGAGACCAAGAACCCACUGAGUCCGGACGCAUUAGGAUGUUAGAGUCCCACCUUCAAAGCAUUUUUCUCCUGGAGUGGACUUUGCGCAAAUGGUAGGCCGAUUGUGGAGUCGUGAAGAACCAGGCUAAUCCAGCUUGUUUUAUUGGCCCCAGUUUUUCUUCUCAGGGCCGUAAACCAGUUAUUACCAGGAAACAAAAGCAAAAGGACCAAGAACUUCGCUUUAUUCCUGGCAGUGUGCAUUGCUCAUGGCAGCAUGAAGAAAACAGAGUCCUGAGUAUGAAGCAGAAAAAGGAAUAGACUCGAAGUCAUGGAUCACGC
rnacentral:lncRNA from 1 species